AGAAGAAAGUGUGGGAAGUCUGGCUGACAGAAAUAAACUCAAAAAAAAAGGGCGGGACUACAGAUUCAAGUGCACCCAUCUGCACGAGAGAAUUUUUCCACGCGCCAUUGCUCUUCGUGACUGCUGUUUUAAACCUCCAGCAGGCCGCAACACUAAUUAAGCAAAGCCUUUUAUUUCUGAGUCCCUUCAUUAAGAAAAAUAAUAAUAAACUGCCUGGUCUCUUUAGCGAGCUCUUCCUUGCUGCUUUGUUGCUUGGUGCUGAUAGCCAAAGGUUCCCAUUCCAGCUGGUUCCGCGGCUCUGGCUGAACUGCCAGCUUCCCGGCUUUCAGAAAUCUCAUUUCCAGGUCCCUGCUGUUUUCCUGUGAGAUGCCAAUUGCUGACUCUGGUUCCCAGGAGGCUCCCAGGCUCUGAUGAACUGCCAGCUUCCUGUUGCCCAGCUUUGUUGUGAGCGCCGCCACCCUUGUUCAGCAAACUGCUGCUCCACCAACCUAAUGCUCGUUUCUCCACCCAGUUUCUGCACAAGUCAUCCCCGUAGACACGGUGUGCGGUCCUGGUGCCCGGGCCACACAGUGAAGGAACCACAGCUCACUGUUGCUGCUGUUACCGUCUCUGCAGUGCCAGGAACCAUGAGCACCACUUUGGAAAUGCUGUUGCCUGGGAUUUUAAAGCUGGCUCCCACUAGGGACGUGAGUAACGCCACUGAUUUGAGAAAAAGUGAAUAGAAUUUUUCCUCUGUUGAGUUUCUGACGAGGCCACAGCCCCAGCCAACAAUCAGCUUACAGCCUGGUAAAACCAGCAAGUGGAAAAUCCAGUGGCUGCGCAGUGGUUACAUUGUGAAACCAAUAUCCCACUUGAAGUGGUGAAGCACAGCUGUAUGAACUAUGACCUAGGAGAAGAUACAAUGGAAUGGAAUAAACAGAAGCCAGUAACCCAUUGUCCCAACUCAAUCCAGAAUUCAGAAGUCUCAAAAUGCUCAAAAAUAAAUUUUCUCUUACUCCGCCAGAUGGGCAAGUAUUGAAUUCUUUCCUAGACCAUUUAUCUCAGGUAAGGAGAUAUGUUACAUAUUAUUUGGCCACAUUUGAUAUAAUCAACAAAGUUUGUUUGUUGAUUUUCCUUUACUUUCUAGACUCCCUCAUCUUGCUUAGAAAUGGGGCCUUGGACACUGUUUUAGAAAGUGAUCCCGAGGCCGGCGCCGUGGCUCAAUAGGCUAAUCCUCCACCUUGCGGCGCCGGCACACCGGGUUCUAGUCCCGGUUGGGGCGCCGGAUUCUGUCCCGGUUGCCCCUCUUCCAGGCCAGCUCUCUGCUAUGGCCAGGGAGUGCAGUGGAGGAUGGCCCAGGUGCUUGGGCCCUGCACCCCAUGGGAGACCAGGAAAAGCACCUGGCUCCUGGCUCCUGCCAUCGGAUCAGCGCGGUGCGCCGGCUGCAGCGGCGGCCAUUGGAGGGUGAACCAAUGGCAAAGGAAGACCUUUCUCUCUCUGUCACUCUCUCACUAUCCACUCUGCCUGUCAAAAAAAUAGAAAAAAGUGAUCCCGUUUCACUGCUGGGAACCCUAUCCAAGGCAUCUUCAUCAUUGGCCAAGCCCAUACUGGAAGUUACUCCAAGAGAAAAGGGCAGGGAAAGGCGGCAGAUCAGACCCUCAGCCUGGUAGAUGAACCAGAGCAGGCCUGAUCCAGUCCCACUGCUCCUCAGGGCCCCAGACAGAUACCAGCCCAGUGAUUCCCCAUCAUCUUGAGUUCCACUGGUGAACUUCUCUCCUUGGCCUUUUGAGCGAGGUAGGGUGGCAUCCAUGGGUUCCAGUCUUGCCCUGCCUCCCUGCAUCAGUGAUGUUCAGCACCGUGUGCAGACCUAGCAGUCCUGGGCCCCUACACUCUCAUCAGUGGUGAAGACGCCAGGCUUUCCUGAGAGGCCAGCGUGGGUGGAAGCACCAGAACAGUAGGGGUGGCUGAGCAGGGAAGGCCAUGUGUGCAGCCAGGGAGAUGACUGCUCAGCCACACCUGGACAGUGCCACCUGCAAUCAUCUCAAGUCCUGCGAUGAUCUAGGCAGAAGGUGGGGAGCUGCAGCCAUGCUCUCUCACGGUCCCGUGAGGAUUCUGCCAACUCCGACCCCGACACUUCGGGAGCCCAUGUGCCAGUGGCUCUCACACUGUUCCUUCCCGUCCACUUGCACUUAAGUGACAAGAUGAAUGAGUUAAUGCCUUCAGUAAAAUGAACAAUGGCUCAUUCUCGUUCUUCUGGGUCUAUAAAAGCCAAAGGGGACAUGUGUACAGUCAUAGGACACCAUUUACAGAAUCCCAGGGAUGCAAAUAAGUGCUUAGUACCAAAAAGGUUAAAACACAGGUGCCACAGUGGGAGAUGUGAUGCUCGACAGACAGUCCUGUCUGUCUGUGAACGGGCGGGCCAUGCGCCUGGACUGGAGUAUCCAGUCCCUCUUCCCACCCUUCCUUCCUAAAUAUUCACCACUCCUCUUCAUGCCUGGCACUCUGUUAGGUACUGGAUACUUGUGGUCAAAGAAUUAUUCUGCAAGAGUUAGACAACCCUUCAUUGUCCACCCAAAUCCAUUGUUCUUUGCUCAGUAAUGGGAUUUAGCUGGGUCCUGGCUACUGUGAUUUCUGUCUCUAUUGCAGUGACCGUGGGUCCACAUUCUCCCCCAGCUGACAGUAAAAGGAAAUGUGACCAGAUUGAUAUCUGACGAAGUUGUCACAUCACCUCCUGCGCUGACAUUAUUACAAGGGUUUAUUUGGCAAGACAACAAGAACAUCUAGUGACAAUCCUGGCAAACCAUUCUGGCUAAACUCAAGGCCAGCACUGUAGAAGAACUGACUAAGAAGAUUCAAAUGUACUUGAGGGGCUGGGUGGCGCAUGGGUUAAGCUGCUGCCUGAGAUGCUGGCAUCCCAUAUGGCACCAGUUCAAGUCUCAGCUGCUCCAUUUCCAAUCCAGCUCCCUGUUAAUGUGCCUGGGAAAGUGGUUGAAGAUGGCCCAAGUAUUUGGGCCCCUGCACCUAUGUGGGAGACCCAGAUGUAGCUCCUGGUUCCUGGCUUUGGCCUUCCCAGUCCUGGCUGUUGUGGCUAUCUGGGGAGUGAACCAGCAGACAGAAGGUCUCUCUCUCUCUCUCUCUCUCUCUCUUUCUCUUUGCAAGUCUGCCUUUCAAAUA